GGAGGAACUGUCCAGCCUAUCUGGCAACUGCCAAGAACAAAAAGAAGGAUGGGCUUUCUGAAGGUACAUCUGAUAUACUCGUUAUUGAAACUAAUCUAACAGUUUUCUUUUUUUUAGUUGGAUUCUGGAUUCUAGAUCAAGUGCUCAUUUGUGCACUUCUAUGCAGGGUCUUGAAGAAGUAAGAAGACUGAGGGAAGGCG
rnacentral:lncRNA from 1 species